ACAAUGGGCGCGAAGCCUGAUGCAGCCGAUGCCGCGUGUAUUGAAGAAGGCCUUCGGGUUGUAAAGGUACUUUCAGCAGUGAGGAAGGUGGGUAUCGUUAAUAGCAUACUCAUUUGACGUUAGCUGCAGAAGAAGCACCGGCUAACUCCGUGCCAGCAGCCGCGGUAAUACGGAGGGUGCGAGCGUUAAUCGGAAUUACUGGGCGUAAAGCGCAUGCAGGUGGUUUGUUAAGUCAGAUGUGAAAGCCCCGGGGCUCAACCUCGGAAUUGCAUUUGAAACUGGCAAACUAGAGUACUGUAGAGGGGGUAGAAUUUCAGGUGUAGCGGUGAAAUGCGUAGAGAUCUGAAGGAAUACCGGUGGCGAAGGCGGCCCCCCUGGACAGAUACUGACACUCAGAUGCGAAAGCGUGGGGAGCAAACAGGAUUAGAUACCCUGGUAG
rnacentral:rRNA from 1 species